CAAAAGCAGGCUCGUUCUCUCAGCACUGAGUUGUUCAAGAUGAAGAACUCAUAUGAAGAGGCUCUGGAUCAUCUUGAGACCAUGAAGAGAGAGAACAAGAACUUGCAGCAGAAGAUCUCAGAUCUGACUGAGCAGAUUGGUGAGAC